UACAUGGGGUGCAAACGUUGCUCGGAAUCAUUGGGCGUAAAGCGCGCGUAGGCGGUUAUUUAAGUCGGAUGUGAAAGCCCUCGGCUUAACUGAGGAAGUGCACCCGAAACUGAAUAGCUAGAGUACUAAAGAGGGUCGCGGAAUUCCCGGUGUAGAGGUGAAAUUCGUAGAUAUCGGGAGGAACACCGGUGGCGAAGGCGGCGACCUGGGUAGAGACUGACGCUGAGGCGCGAAAGCGUGGGGAGCAAACAGG
rnacentral:rRNA from 1 species